AUGGUCAAGAUUGUUACUGCCAUUUCCAGCAAACCCAAAAGAGGGAAAACAAAUAAGUGGCGUGUAGAGUUCUUGGUUUUCAAGAAUACUGGGGAAAAUUUUGUAACAGCAUAGCUUUAACAAGGUUCUACGGCGCGUUGGUCAACAGACCAAGUGUGCCACAUCCAUGGCGCCCACACCCCUGUCCCUGGGAUCUGUGAAUUGGCUACAUGGUAAAAGGGAAUUGGGGUUACAGAUGGAGGAAAGGUUGCCGAUCAGAUGGCCUAAAAAUAGGGUGACUAUCCUGGAUUCUCCAGUGGGCCCAGUGUAAUCAAGGGGUUGGAGGAGGCCCGAAGGUCGGGAGUCAGAAGCAGGGUUAUGGGAUGUGGGGGAGGACUUGACCCACCUCUGUUGAGGCUGAAAGGGGCUAGGAGCCCAGGGUCGGGGUGGCCUCUGGGCGCUGGAGAAGCCAGAGAUCCGCAUUCCGCCCUAGAGCCUUCAGAAAGGCCCAGUGACACCUGGACUCUAGUCCGGGGAGACUCAUUUGGGACCCCUUCCCUCCAGAACUGUGAGCGCACGAUUCAUAUUGUUUUAGGCCAUUCCAGCUCGUUCCAGCAGCAGUGGAAGGUUGACACAGCAUUGAGCUCUGAACGUCUAAAUAUCUGAAGUCCGUGAGCCCAACCUUCAUCUCUUCCCUGUUUAAUUCCCACGGAGCUUGCGGAUACCACGUAUCUUCUUACGUACAUAGGAUUUCCUCCUCAGCUGGACUCUGUGAUCUUCCAAGAGGAUGGACAGUGGAAGUGCCUUCUGGAGUCCCUUCGUGUCCUAGUACUGGACAAACAAUGUAACUGUCUUUCAGGGCACGGUUAUGGAAGCGUGUGUGGCGGGGGCAGCCUUGGGUCUUUGCUCCUGAAGACAGUCCGUGGCCGCCGAGGAGCAGCAGCAGCAGCAGCUGGGCCUGCCCCAGACCUGGCCUAGCUGGGUGUUGGAAGAGAACUCAACACCCCGCACAGGUGAUUGUCAAAUAUAACGUCGUUCGAAGCGUGUUCUGAAGCUUGUUCGCCCCGUGAGUCCCCGACACCCCUUCCCUUGGAAGCUGUAAGCGGUGUCUGCAUUCUGCCCGACCCCGGUACCCCAAUGGUCAGUGCUCAAGAAUGCAGGGGUCUGUUUUAAGCACACUUCAAGUUCAAGAGGAAUCUGAGCAUGAUUUUGUUCUGUGGCUCGCACCUGCUCCUCAGCUGCUCACUGGCACCGGGCUGGUAGCCCUGGGGCAGCACGCGCUCAUUCCGCCCGGUAGGGACCUUCUAUUUGAGCUUGGUGCUCUUUCCUCCUGUGAAUAACCCCUGCCAAGAGACACCUUUACAGUAAGUGCGAAGGAGAUGCUGGCACAGAGUUCCAGCCGAGUAAGAGUCAAAGCCAGAGUGAGAGGGAAAUAAAAUGCCUGUGACAGAAACACAGUUUAUAGAAAAUGAUGAUGGUGGGUCAGCAGACAGCAUGGCUCGCUGGCGCAGGCAAAGUUCAGGAAUGGAGGUUUGAAGAGAAAGGGCUUUAUGAGAAAUGCCGUCUAAGUGAGCGCGUUCGUGGUGGAGGUUUGCAACUCCUGCUUAUCUAAUGAGAAGUUCUAGAAACUCUUAGAGCAAGAGGUAGUGGAGUAUAAAAUAUACAUUUUGAAUUUGAAAUCCUGGCUUUGGUGCUCCUUAGCUCCUGUGUCCUUAGGCAACUAUUUAAUCUACCUGAACUUUUAUUUCUUCAUCUGUACAAAUGCUUCUGGAAUAGUAGGGUAAGACUUUUGAAAUUCCACUCUGCCAAACAAUCAAAGAACACAGGUAAAAAUUGUUAAAAUCAUCUUUUUCAAAGUUCUGGAAAUUAGCUAAAGGACUGCAACAAUUCAGGGAGUAUUUAUUCAAGAAAAACAGUUGAAUCUCAGUAUGAACAGGGAGCUUUGUGGCAUUUUGACUUAACCACUUUCCUUACCCCUCACUCCAGAUAUGUGGUGGCCAAGGAAGCGAACAGAAUGGGCUUGUUAAAAACGAUCAGCAACAACUGUUUAGCAUCAUCACUAUCUAAGGCAGUCACACCAGUCAAGGCUCACGAGAGACCCAAGGUUUUAACUGAAAAAAGUUAAAACUGGUGAACGAGAUGUCCACAGAGGACACUGAAAAGCUCUAGUGUGUUAGUGGAGUCCGAGAAGUCCUUGCACAGAUGCAGGUCAGCACACCUGCCCAGGAGAUCUGACCAGGCUUGCCCUCUAUCUCCAGUUGACCUUGAGGCUCUGCAGAAGUAAGAAGUAAAGGCUAAAGUAGAACUGUCAGGACUUUCCGGAACACUGAAUGUGUGCUCCAACUUUGAUGGAAAACAUUAACCUACAUAUCAAAGACGAUCAAAGAACUCCAUGGAAGAAAAACUCAGAGACCACAGGUAGACCCAACAUGGCCAACUUGGAAAGCAGCAGGAGAAAGGAAACUCAUCACAGGGGAUCUUCAGCAAGUUGAAUAUCCCAACAGAAACCAUGCAGGCCAGGUGGUAGGAUGGAUGACACGUUCAAAGUGCCAGAAGAAAAACAAAAACGAAAAAACCCUAUUAGCCAAGAACUUGAGAGCCAGCAAACUGUUCUUCAAAAAAUAAAGACAUCCCCAGAUAAACAACUGAGAGAAUUUGUUGCAAAUAGACCUGUUUUGCAUGAAAUACUAAAGGGACUCCUUUAGACUGAAAUAAAAGGAUGAUUCGAACUUGAAUUCACGUGAAUAAAGAACACCAGUAAAAAUAAAUAUAUGAGAAUUAUAAAAGUAUAAAUGUAUUUUUAUUUACACCUCUUCCAUAUAAUUUUAGACAACCGCAUAAAACAAUACUUAUUAAACUUCUGAUAGGUUUACUUAUAUAUAGAUGUAAUUUGUAUGACAAGAGCACAAAAGAGAGAAAAAGAAUGAAACUAUGUAUCGGAGCAAUGGUUUUGUGUAAUAUUGCAAUUAAUCAGGUAUUAAUCUAAACCAGAUUGUUUUAACAUGCUAAUAGUAACCUUUUGGAAAACCACUAAGAAAAUAACUUUAAAAAUAUAGUUGAGAAACAACAAAGGAAUUAAAGGGGCGUACUCAAACUUAUUUAAUGCAAAAGGCGGCAAUUACGAAAGAGAGGAACAAAAGCGAUGUAAGACACAUAGAAAAUGAAUAAUAAAAUAGUAGGCCUAAAUCCUACCUAAUCUGUAAUUACAUUAAAUGUAUAUGGAUUAAACAUUCCAAUCAAAAGGCAGAGAGUGCCAGGAUGAAUUUCUAAAUAUGGUGUAACUGGGGCACCUGGGUGGCUCAGUUGGCUAAGCAUCUAACUUCGGCUCAUGGUCUCAAGGUGCUGGGAUUGAGCCCCACAUUGGCUCAAUCAGAGCAGGGAGGCUGCUUGUCCCUCUCCCUUUCUCUCUGCCCCUCUCCCCACACUUGCUCCC